AUUGAACGCUGGCGGCAUGCCUUACACAUGCAAGUCGAACGGUAACGGGCCUUCGGGUGCCGACGAGUGGCGAACGGGUGAGUAAUACAUCGGAACGUGCCCGAUCGUGGGGGAUAACGGGGCGAAAGCUUUGCUAAUACCGCAUACGAUCUACGGAUGAAAGCAGGGGACGGCAAGGCCUUGCGCGGACGGAGCGGCCGAUGGCAGAUUAGGUAGUUGGUGGGAUAAAAGCUUACCAAGCCGACGAUCUGUAGCUGGUCUGAGAGGAUGAUCAGCCACACUGGGACUGAGACACGGCCCAGACUCCUACGGGAGGCAGCAGUGGGGAAUUUUGGACAAUGGGCGCAAGCCUGAUCCAGCCAUGCCGCGUGCAGGAUGAAGGCCUUCGGGUUGUAAACUGCUUUUGUACGGAACGAAAAGCCUUCUUUUAAUACAGGAGGGUCAUGACGGUACCGUAAGAAUAAGCACCGGCUAACUACGUG
rnacentral:rRNA from 1 species